AACGAACGCUGGCGGCAGGCCUAACACAUGCAAGUCGAGCGCCCCGCAAGGGGAGCGGCGGACGGGUGAGUAACGCGUGGGAAUAUGCCCUUUGCUACGGAAUAGUCUCGGGAAACUGGGGGUAAUACCGUAUACGCCCUUUGGGGGAAAGAUUUAUCGGCGAAGGAUUAGCCCGCGUUGGAUUAGGUAGUUGGUGGGGUAAUGGCCUACCAAGCCGACGAUCCAUAGCUGGUUUGAGAGGAUGAUCAGCCACACUGGGACUGAGACACGGCCCAGACUCCUACGGGAGGCAGCAGUGGGGAAUCUUAGAAAAUGGGGGCAACCCUGAUCUAGCCAUGCCGCGUGAGUGAUGAAGGCCUUAGGGUUGUAAAGCUCUUUCAGCUGGGAAGAUAAUGACGGUACCAGCAGAAGAAGCCCCGGCUAACUACGUG
rnacentral:rRNA from 1 species